UUAAUAAUAUAGCCUAUGUCUAAUUCCAAAAUCAAAGUAUGUACGUAACAAACAAAAAUAUUCUAGGAACUAGCGUGUAGAGAGAGAGAAAAAGCGAACCCUAAAUUUCUUCACGACCAUGCCGCCAAAUAUGAGAUCAAUCCUUGCUAAGUUACAUCGAACAUCGAUGUCAAUGGUGUCUCGCCGCAAUUUUUCAUCACCCGCAGUUGACGGCAAAGAUCCAAAGAAAAGAUCAACAGUGAAAUAUGCGGUAACUCGAGCCCUAGGAUUUGGUAUCCUAGGAUAUGCUACGGGACUUUACAUUGGCCAUCGUCUAUCUCUGGAGGGAGGCUGACGAACCAUUUAAGAAAUCCGAAAAGUUGUCUGGGUGGUCUAUGUAAUAACUAUGUCUCUGUGUAAGCUGAAAAACUCUUAUUUGAUAUUGUUUCUCUCUUUGCUCUGUCGGAAAAUUAAAACUCGUGCGUGUUCGUAGACUCAAACCAUAUGUUGUUGGGAAUGCUUUAAUGUUUUCUCAAUAGUUUUCAA